GACGAACGCUGGCGGCGUGCUUAACACAUGCAAGUCGAACGGAAAGGCCCUGCUUUUGUGGGGUGCUCGAGUGGCGAACGGGUGAGUAACACGUGAGUAACCUGCCCUUGACUUUGGGAUAACUUCAGGAAACUGGGGCUAAUACCGGAUAGGAGCUCCUGCUGCAUGGUGGGGGUUGGAAAGUUUCGGCGGUUGGGGAUGGACUCGCGGCUUAUCAACUUGUUGGUGGGGUAGUGGCUUACCAAGGCUUUGACGGGUAGCCGGCCUGAGAGGGUGACCGGCCACAUUGGGACUGAGAUACGGCCCAGACUCCUACGGGAGGCAGCAGUGGGGAAUAUUGCACAAUGGGCGGAAGCCUGAUGCAGCAACGCCGCGUGCGGGAUGACGGCCUUCGGGUUGUAGACCGCUUUCGCCUGUGACGAAGCGUGAGUGACGGUAAUGGGUAAAGAAGCACCGGCUAACUACGUG
rnacentral:rRNA from 1 species